AUUUACCAUCUUGAUGUAGAUGGCAAAUGAUUCGCCAUUUUUACCUGUACCAUCCACUUCCACCAAAUUUUCAACAACAACAAAUUUCACAACAAAACGGAAUAUCAACAACACAUAUUUUCAACAACACAAAUAUUUUGAGAAGAAUAUCAGCAAAAAAAUUUCGAUAACACCAAAUUUUUAAUAAACAAACUCUUCAAAACAAUGUGAAAAAAAAAGGAAUAUAAAAUAUUCUAUAUAUUUCAAUACAAAAUACAAUGUAUUUGAUCCAAAAAAAAUAUAAAUGUCAAUAAUAAAUAAAUCACAUUAGAUCCUUACAACUCUUGCUCUCCCUCGACGCCUUCAACCACCCGCAUGCAGACGCCCACACCCACACCACGCCCACAAUCAACAUCGAGCUCAACAGCAAGUACAUCAUCAAGUGGCUCAAUGUCUGUCAUCUAAUUAAGAGCUUCAAUGAUGAUGCCCUUGUGACGCUCAAGAAUCUCUUGGGUCUCUAUGGCAUUGGUUGGUCAUCCUCUAUAGCGGCCAGCAUAAAUGCUGCUAAAUAUUGUAAUAAUGAUGUAGUGUACUAAAAUUCUAUAUACUAUACUAAACUUUAGCCAAAUUGGGUAAAGUAUAGCGGGAAGUGAUUUGGACAUGUUUGGAAAUUGAGUUCUAAGGGUUUCGGAACGAUUAGAAGUGGAUUAGAGCUUCAAGGAGUGAAAAUAAAAAUUUUUGGAAAUUUCAUUUUCAGCUAUUGGACUCUCGGGGUCCGAAACCUGAAUUAAGGAUUCGGACCUUGAUGACCAAAGUAUCAAAGUCCG
rnacentral:lncRNA from 1 species